rnacentral:rRNA from 1 species
GACGGAAGGUGCAAGCGUUGCUCGGAAUCACUGGGCGUAAAGAGCGCGCAGGCGGUCGUUCAAGUCGCGUGUGAAAGCCCCCGGCUCAACUGGGGAGGGUCACGCGAUACUGAUCGACUUGAAGGCAGGAGAGGGUAGUGGAAUUCCCGGUGUAGUGGUGAAAUGCGUAGAUAUCGGGAGGAACACCAGUGGCGAAGGCGACUACCUGGCCUGUUCUUGACGCUGAGGCGCGAAAGCUAGGGGAGCAAACGGG